UACUGAAGGUGCAAGCGUUAAUCGGAAUUACUGGGCGUAAAGCGCGCGUAGGCGGUUCGUUAAGUCAGAUGUGAAAGCCCCGGGCUCAACCUGGGAACUGCAUUUGAUACUGGCGAACUAGAGUAUGUUAGAGGAAAGUGGAAUUCAGGGUGUAGCGGUGAAAUGCGUAGAUAUCCUGAGGAACACCAAUGGCGAAGGCAACUUUCUGGGACAAUACUGACGCUGAGGUGCGAAAGCGUGGGGAGCAAACGGG
rnacentral:rRNA from 1 species